rnacentral:rRNA from 1 species
UGCAGUCGAGCGAAUGGAUUAAGAGCUUGCUCUUAUGAAGUUAGCGGCGGACGGGUGAGUAACACGUGGGUAACCUGCCCAUAAGACUGGGAUAACUCCGGGAAACCGGGGCUAAUACCGGAUAACAUUUUGAACCGCAUGGUUCGAAAUUGAAAGGCGGCUUCGGCUGUCACUUAUGGAUGGACCCGCGUCGCAUUAGCUAGUUGGUGAGGUAACGGCUCACCAAGGCAACGAUGCGUAGCCGACCUGAGAGGGUGAUCGGCCACACUGGGACUGAGACACGGCCCAGACUCCUACGGGAGGCAGCAGUAGGGAAUCUUCCGCAAUGGACGAAAGUCUGACGGAGCAACGCCGCGUGAGUGAUGAAGGCUUUCGGGUCGUAAAACUCUGUUGUUAGGGAAGAACAAGUGCUAGUUGAAUAAGCUGGCACCUUGACGGUACCUAACCAGAAAGCCACGGCUAACUACGUGCCAGCAGCCGCGGUAAUACGUAGGUGGCAAGCGUUAUCCGGAAUUAUUGGGCGUAAAGCGCGCGCAGGUGGUUUCUUAAGUCUGAUGUGAAAGCCCACGGCUCAACCGUGGAGGGUCAUUGGAAACUGGGAGACUUGAGUGCAGAAGAGGAAGUGGAAUUCCAUGUGUAGCGGUGAGAUGCGUAGAGAUAUGGAGGAACACCAGUGGCGAAGGCGACUUUCUGGUCUGUA